CUCCUCGCUCCUGACCUCUGACCUCUCUUUACCUCCAGAUGCCGGCUCUGCCGCCUCCAGCCGCUCGGCCAAAGCCGCGCCCUCCUCGGUCAGAGAAUACCUGGACAGUCCAUGGGGCAGACGUGAGUGGUCUCCAUGGUAACGGAGCGCGAGCUGACCGCGAAGGUGUCGUACCUGGCCGGAUUGUGGCUCUUGGUGAGCAGGUUCUUCUGGAUCAGCGUGCUGACUGAAGACCACGCCGUGUAUUUGCUGCCCACGUCGGGCUGCGGGUCCAGACCAAAGACCAGCCACAGUGUCACCAGGGCCUUGAGGGGGUGAGUGGUUCAAAUCCAACAACUUUUAAGGAUUUCAAGGACCCGUGGGAACCCUGAAGGUGGUGCACUGACACUUCAAAUAUCAACUUCUCUUUGGCACGUAAUUCAAGCAUGUUCAAUGACCCAUUUUCAAAAACAUUCAAGGGCCUUGGGGAAACAAAAAGUUCAACCUCAAAGACUUUCAAGGACCCAUGGGAACCACAUCAGCGGUGACCUACACAUCAACUUAACCGAAUCCAAUUUUCAAAAACCAUGAAGGGCCUUGAAAAACAAAGUCAAACUUCCAUGGAUUUAAGGACCCAUGGAAACCCGGUUUCUUUUAUAAACUCUGCUUAUAAGGAACUACUUCCUGUGACCUCUGACCUUCUGGUAGGUGAACUGGAUCUUCAGUCCCUUCUCCUUCGCCUCGUCUCGCAGCUCAGUCAGCCACUUCAGGAACAGCGGGUUCGGACACGGCGGCAGCGGUCGUUUCCGGCCCAACCGGACGGGCUCUGGAGCAGACAUGGUCACUUCAAAUCCGAACCACACAAACACGUAUUUAGCCGGACAUCAAAGUGCUACUUUAGCUAGAAUUCGCUAGCGUCCCACUACGACUCCGGCUUUUGUCCAGUGAAAGUUUUCAAAAACACAAACCAGUGACUUUGAAGUGUAAAAUAUUAUCUUAAGAAUGUUAUUAAGUUAUCUAAAAAAACACAUUUACCCGUAAAUUUAGCUCCGAUAUCAUCACUUGAUAAAGCAGCAGUAGCUACCGCUUUGUUUUCAAACUCAUGGAACACUUCCGGGUCGACUUGCGUGACGUGACCCGGCAACGAAAGUCAAAGUGCCUGUGUUUUUUUGUUUUGUUUGUAAAAACGCUACAAAGAAAACGUUUACAGACGUCAACCAGUUAGUAGAAAUGCGUUUAAUUAAAACAACAUAUUUAUUUACGAGUUGUUUGUUCCAACUUAAGUUUAUAAUGUAAUUAGGUCAAGCAAAACUGUGUGGGGAAAAAAACACCAUAAAAGACCGUUAUGUGGCUGUCACCUAAAGACGAUUCCUCGUAUCCUUGGGCUGAAGGGAGCUCGCUGGAAUCUUCCAACAAGACCGGACAGAGACCAGGAAUCCGACCUCACCCUCCCGCCUCAUCCUCUGUGUGUGUGUAUGUGAAGAACACACACAGUCACAUGCUUUGGGCGGAAAAGCAGCGUUAUCGUCAUAACAGCCAUCUUUUAUGGAUUCACACACAAGCUGAAGGAGCUGUGUCUUUAUUUAACACACACUA